rnacentral:rRNA from 1 species
GAUGAACGCUGGCGGCGUGCUUAACACAUGCAAGUCGAACGGAAAGGCUCCUGCUUGCAGGGGUACUCGAGUGGCGAACGGGUGAGUAACACGUGGGUGAUCUGCCCUGCACUUCGGGAUAAGCCUUGGAAACUGGGUCUAAUACCGGAUAGGACCACAUUCUGGAUGGUGUGGUGGAAAGUUUUUCGGUGUGGGAUGAGCUCGCGGCCUAUCAGCUUGUUGGUGGGGUAAUGGCCUACCAAGGCGUCGACGGGUAGCCGGCCUGAGAGGGUGUACGGCCACAUUGGGACUGAGAUACGGCCCAGACGCCUACGGGAGGCAGCAGGGGGGAAUAUGGCACAAUGGGCGCAAGCCUGAUGCAGCGACGCCGCGUGGGGGAUGACGGCCUUCGGGUUGUAAACUCCUUUCGCUAGGGACGAAGCGCAAGUGACGGUACCUGGAGAAGAAGCACCGGCUAACUACGUG